GGAACAACUGAAUCUAAUAUCCUGGUACAGGAGGGUGAUUCUUUUUUCCCAAAGCAGGUGUGGAAACUACAUUCAUACCCUUUUCAUGUUUGUUCAAUAUUUACAUUUUCCUGGCAUAUGAUUCCAAUAUCAAUUAUGGCAAGUCAAAAAGAAAACCACUUUGGCAAUUGCAGUGCAGUAAACCACAUGGGAGUGCAAGCAGCAUUACUGUGACUCUGAAGCACAAAGCCAACACAAGCAAGUACAAUUGGCCACGAGAUCCCUUAGGAAUAGGUUUUCUGGUGGUAAAUGACUCUCCUGUGAGUGAGUUCUUCGUAGAGAACCUCCACUCUGGGAGCUGAAGGGGACCUCACAGCCCUGUCUCUUCCUCAUCCUCCUCUCUUGAUGUAAGUACAGAGCAUGAGAGAGACAAUGGGUAUGCAUCCAUGUUAGAAGGGUUUUGUGCACUCAUUUUGCAGCAAGAGAUUUGGCUUCAUCAGAGGAAGUAUUUCUAAGAGGAAAUUAUAACAGCCAUGCAAACACAAGAUGUGGAAUUGCCUUUGAUUUAAAAAUGUACAGCAGGGAAGGUCCUAGCAUUUUACUGUCUUCAGCACAGCUUAGAAAUGAGGAACGGAGAUUCUCUCCAAAGCCCUGAAUCUCCAUUCUGAAAAAAUUUAUAAACAGUGAAAUUCUGAAAUCCAGGUUUCCAGGAUAUGUGGCCAAUCUGAAAUCUGACUAUGAGUCCCUAGAUAAAAUAAAAUAUCUAAAGUUUAUUAUUCAUGGUACUAGACAUGGAGAAUCCGAAUAGCCCCAAAAUUCACUUUGAAUAAUGAAUGUAUAAUUCUGCCAUAAAAAGCAAGAUUUGAUUUCUUUAAGUGAAGCACAGACUAUGAGCUUUCUAGGGUUGUAUGCUCAAAUCUCCCUUGAAUGUUGACAAGGAAAUAAGUUUUAAAUAGAGCAAUAAAAAUCAAAACAUGGAGUUCCCGUUGUGGCUCAGCAGAAACGAGUCCAACUAGUAUCCGUGAGGACGCAGCUUCGACCCCUGGCUUCGCUCAGUGGGUUAAGAAUCCAGCGUUGCUGUGGCUGAGGUGUAGGCUAGCGGGUAUAGCUCCGAUUAGAGCCCUAGACUGGGAAUGUCAAUACGCCGUGGUGCAGCUCUAAAAAGAGGGAAAAAAAAUCAGAACAUGAAAAGCAAAUCUUUCAAAACACCAGGUGCUUGAAACACUAGUGCCUGUGCAUUUAUAUGACUGUUUAGAGACAGGAAAGAUAAUAGCGUAUGGCUGUUAAACACACACACACACACACACACACACACACACACAUGAAUACUUGAUAUUUUAGUAACGCGCAAGUAUAUAUUAACAUAAAAGUUUAUUUUUUUAUAUGUCCUUCUACCAAUUUACCACUAUUGAGAAACAUUGAUAUGUACUACGGUGGAACAUUAGCAGAUUUUAAAUUUAUAAAAAUGGUAUUCAAAGCCUUGCUUUUCCACUCUGUGAAAUACUGCAAAGUUCCUCCCUCUAGUUUUUACUUUCCUGGAUGAAAAACCUGAAUCUUACAUACAAGAUGAUUUUUAAAUUAAAUAAUUCCCUUAAAGCACAGAGUAUCACUGUGGGAUUCUUUAAAUGAUAGGUCUUAACUUCUUUCAAAGUAACUAUAGUUAUUAUCAUUCUCCAAUUCACCAAUGAGAAAAAGUUAUCAAAAAUAAUCUGUCCUCUGAUUUUAAAACUUUUUGCAUAUUAAUUUUUGAAUGAUGCCAUGAAACUGAGAAAUUGAUUUAAUUAUUUGUUAUUGAUUCAAUUUAAAUUCAUUUGAUUUUAUUCCAUUGAUUUCAUUUAAUAUGUUUUUAAGUCAAAUAAGUAUAAAGUCAAGAGAACAUGAAUCACCUUAUGAUCAGCCUAGUAUCUAUUCCAUAGUCACUAAAAUGUGCACUUGAAACUUUGUUCAUCGGAGUCCCUCGCAUAAUCUCUCAUACAGCUAAGAUAUUAAGUAGUGUCCAUACACAUGUUUCUGUGAUGUCUUUUUAAAUGGCAAUUACAUAGAAUAAGAAAACAAUAAUGGAAAUUGUUCAUUCAGUCACCUUAAUAUUAAUAUUAAAUGACAAGACCAAAGGCAUGUGGCUAUUCUGAAUCCAAAGUGAGCAGCCUCAGAUGUAAGGUAUGUUAGGAUCUCUGUAGCCUGUAAGAACAGGAAUAAAAUUUGCAACUGGACAGCAAUAAUAGCUGAGGAUUAAAAAUAAAAGUAGUCAGCAACACAACACAUAGUGACAAGAGGUGUCCCAAACUAAGAUUUGGAGCCUGGGUAUUUUACUAACACAGCUGCAGGGGUAUAUUCGCCAAACCAAGUGGUUGGAGCAUCGUAGUUGAAUGUUCAUGAGUGGUCAGUGGGAUUCCAGCCAAUGCCUGGGCCAAUGAAGACAUCAUCCAGUCUCCCAGAGGCCAAAGAGAAGAAAACUAAGAACAGAGCACCACCAUAUUGGCUUAGCGAGGAUCUUAGCAAGACUUUCCAGCACAGAAAGGACUAGAUCAAGGGGUUGAGUCAAUAUGGGAAAGGAAAAAGGAACAAGGAGAAGACGUAUCCAGAACCUCGCCUACAUAACUGUAAGUCUCAUUUCAGAUACUACCCACUGGUGGAGCUGGACACUCAGGUGUGUUGUUUACCUUGAUGAAUCUUGUUCUGAGGCUGUGGCAAGUAAACAGUGGACAAUGAUUGCAACAACACCAGGCUGGAGAGCGAAGCAUCUAAAAUCAGGUCUCCACACACCCAGGUCCCUGUUAGCCCUGGAACGUGAUACAGUUGCUUCUGAAAGGAGUACUUGCUGAAGGUGACAUUACAGAGAAUUUUCUUUAACAUGUAUCAACACAACUACAGUGACAACAGAUGAGAAAAGAAAAAACAAUCAAGAUCGGAAACUAACCAACAAACAAAAAGAUCAGAAACAGCCCUAGCAAAUCAGGAGUGAGAUUCAUUGACCAAGAAAUAGUGAAUAGGAUAUUUCAAUGGUAUAAAAUUAUUUCUUUAAAUAGAAUUACUUCCUGAAAAGGCUACAUAUUUUUAAAUAUAUUAUAAAAUUCCACAAUAAUGCAGUAGUGUUAACACAAUUUUCUAGCAUAUGCAUAUUUUUAGUUAAAUAAUGAAUCUUAUCUUUAAAACCUAAUAUUAUUUUGAGGUCUCCAUUAAAUUAAAUUCUUGGUAUUUUCAGAUUAUCUUAAUCUGAUUCUCCCUCAGUGUGGGGAUUGCAAAGAAAGACAAUGCUUAGGGUCAAAGUGGAAGAUGACAAAACGAAUCCUAAGAUUAAACAAAAAAAAAGCCCUUUUCUCUAUUGUAAAUCAGGAAACAAGAAUCAUGGGGGAUAAGUUCAAUACAGAAAAAAAAA
ensembl:lncRNA